CCAGGCCGUCUGGAAUAUGACAGUGCAUAAAAAGACGGUGGAGGCUCAACUACUGCAGUAUCCGCCCAGAAUGGAAAUGACAGACUGGAAUGGCAAUAAUGUCACAAAGGAGCUGAGAUACUGGAAUAGAUAUUAUUGGUGUGCUAUUUUUCUUGUUCGUAUUGUGGUCGAAA